CCUACGGGAGGCAGCAGUGGGGGAUAUUGUACAAUGGGGGAAACCCUGAUGCAGCGACGCCGCGUGUGGGAAGACGGUCCUCUGGAUUGUAAACCACUGUCCCCAGGGACGAAGAUGACGGUACCUGGGGAGGAAGCUCCGGCUAACUACGUGCCAGCAGCCGCGGUAAUACGUAGGGAGCGAGCGUUGUCCGGAAUUACUGGGUGUAAGGGGAGCGUAGGCGGGACUGCAAGUUGGGUGUAAAAUCUACCGGCUCAACCGGUAGCCGCACUCAAAACUGCAGUUCUUGAGUGAAGUAGAGGCAGGCGGAAUUCCUAGUGUAGCGGUGAAAUGCGUAGAUAUUAGGAGGAACACCAGUGGCGAAGGCGGCCUGCUGGGCUUUUACUGACGCUGAGGCUCGAAAGUGUGGGGAGCAAACAGGAUUAGAUACCCCUGUAGUC
rnacentral:rRNA from 1 species